rnacentral:lncRNA from 1 species
CCAGGCUGAAGCAGGAAUGCCAACUGCCAGCUGCUCAUUUCUUCAUCUCAUUGGCUGGACUUUUUCUUUCGGAUGGAAAGCCACUGACCGGGUGGAAUUUCCCCUGUAAAGCUGCGGGGCCUUCAAUCUCUCUGCUGUCUGACACAACGGGAGAGUUGCUGUGGCCUCGUGUCUGUGCCUGUGCCUCCUCCAGUGUGAGCAGCUUUGUGGAAGGAGAAGACACCCACAGGGACUUGCGCCGUGAUAAAGAACUGUGUC